rnacentral:rRNA from 1 species
GACGAACGCUGGCGGCGUGCUUAACACAUGCAAGUCGAACGGUGAAGCUCAAGCUUGCUCGGCUGGAUGCGUGGCGAACGGGUGAGUAACACGUGAGCAACCUGCCCCGGACUCUGGAAUACGCGCUGGAAACGGCGUCUAAUACUGGAUAUGACACCAAUCCGCAGGGGUAUGGUGUGGAAAGUUCUUCGGUCUGGGAUGGGCUCGAGGCCUAUCAGCUUGUUGGUGAGGUAAUGGCUCACCAAGGCGACGACGGGUAGCCGGCCUGAGAGGGCGACCGGACACACUGGGACUGAGACACGCCCCAGACUCCUACGGGAGGCAGCAGUGGGGAAUAUUGCACAAUGGGCGAAAGCCUGAUGCAGCGACGCCGCGUGAGGGAUGACGGCCUUCGGGUUGUAAACCUCUUUCAGCAGGGAAGAAGCGAAAGUGACGGUACCUGCAGAAGAAGCACCGGCUAACUACGUGCCAGCAGCCGCAGUAACAC